rnacentral:lncRNA from 1 species
AUGUCAGACGCAGCUGUAGACAGGAGCUCCGAAAUCGCCACCAAGGACUUAAAGGAGAAGAAGGAAGUUGUGGAAUAGGCAGAAAAUGGAAAAGACGCCCCUGCUAACGGGAAUGCUAAUGAGGAAAAUGGGGAGCAGGAGGCUGACAAUGAGGUAGAUGAAAAAGUGGAAGAAGGUGGGGAGGAAGAGGAGGAGGAAGAAGAAAGUGAUGGUGAGGAAGAGGAUGGAGAUGAAGAUGAGGAAGAUGAGGAAGCUGAGUCAGCUACGGGCAAGCAGGCAGCUGAAGAUGAUGAAGAUGACGAUGUCAAUACCAGGAAGCAGAAGACCGACGAGGAUGACUAG